UACGUAGGGUGCGAGCGUUGUCCGGAAUUAUUGGGCGUAAAGAGCUCGUAGGCGGUCUGUCGCGUCCGCUGUGAAAACCCGAGGCUCAACCUCGGGCCUGCAGUGGGUACGGGCAGACUAGAGUGCGGUAGGGGAGAAUGGAACUCCUGGUGUAGCGGUGGAAUGCGCAGAUAUCAGGAAGAACACCGAUGGCGAAGGCAGUUCUCUGGGCCGUAACUGACGCUGAGGAGCGAAAGCGUGGGGAGCGAACAGG
rnacentral:rRNA from 1 species